rnacentral:rRNA from 1 species
UACGGGGGGUGCGAGCGUUGUCCGGAAUCACUGGGCGUAAAGGGCGCGUAGGUGGCAUGAUAAGGGUGUGGUGAAAGCCCCGGGCUCAACCUGGGAAUUGCAUUCGAGACUGAAUAGCUAGGGUGCGGAAGAGGGAAGCGGAAUUUCCGGUGUAGCGGUGAAAUGCGUAGAUAUCGGAAGGAACACCAGAGGCGAAAGCGGCUUCCUGGUCCAGUACUGACGCUCAUGCACGAAAGCGUGGGGAGCAAACAGG